rnacentral:rRNA from 1 species
UACAUGGGGUGCAAACGUUGCUCGGAAUUACUGGGCGUAAAGAGCUCGUAGGCGGUCUGUCGCGUCUGCUGUGAAAACCUAGGGCUUAACUCUGGGCGUGCAGUGGGUACGGGCAGACUAGAGUGCGGUAGGGGAGACUGGAAUUCCUGGUGUAGCGGUGAAAUGCGCAGAUAUUGCUCGGAAGGCCGGAGCCGAAGGGGCCCCACUGGUACGCAACUGACGCUGAGGCACGGAAAGCGUGGGGGAGCAAACAGG